UUUUGUGGUGUUAGCUGUAAGAGGGGAAGGGCGUGGGACGUUUCUGACCUGACACUAUGGAGGAAGGAAGAGGCGCCAACUUCGACGGUGUGAGCACCGACCGCCUUGAAAAGGAGUUACUGGAAGAAAUCCAUCAGAAGGAUAUAGUGCAACUAUCAAUGCUUGAAAUAAUACACAAGAUAGAGGAACUGGAAGCCAAACUCAAUACUGAUGACAAAGGUGGUGAAUGGAAAGUUCGUUAUGAGACACAACUUGAACUGAAUGAUCAAUUAGAAAAGCAAAUUGUUUCUCUAGAAGAGAAAAUGAAAAAAAUUUGUGGAAAUCCUUCAGAUAGAUUGUCUUUUAUCCGUGUCUAUGAAAAAAUGCCAGUGGAAUCCUUAAAUAUAUUACUUAAACAGCUAGAAAAAGAGAAAAGGAGGCUUAAAAAUCAAGUGAAAGACUAUGCACUGAGACUGGAACAAGAAUCAAAGGCUUACCACAAGACCAACAAUGAGUGCCAUACCUAUCUAGCUGAAAUGUCUCAGGUCUCUGACUCAUACCAAGUUUCUAAAAGGCAACAGAUGGAUCAACUGCCUAGAAUGAAAGAAAAUUCAGUGAAAAUCAUCACUCCCUGAGUAAAAGAUUUUUGAAAAGCAUCUUGGAGGGAAUUGAAGCUGACUCUACUCCCAAAUAAGAGCGUGGGAAAGUUGGCUUUAUAAAGAUAUGGUAAGAUAUAAUCCAGUUAAUCAGAAGACAAUGAAUGCCAAGAGAGGACCAGGAAAAAAGAUCACAAGAUCAAACCAUCUUCCAAAACUCGAUCCAUAAUUCUAGAACUGGAAUUCUAUUUCUUCCUUUUUCUCGUCCAUAAUAUUCAACUUAUGAAGUUAAUGUUCAACACAUUUUUCAGGGAAUGAAAUAGACAAGAAAGAGCUAUCAAACUUCUCUUUAGCUCCUCUUACAAAAGUUUUUUCCUUUGUCUGUAUUAAAGUAAUUUUCUUAAGUGAUCUAAUAUAAGUGAUCUAAAAUACCUAA